CUUUAAAAGUCUCUCAAAAGUAACUCAGUCUUUAAAGUCUUUUAUAAAAGUCAAGAUGCCUUUAGGUCUAUUAUUUUUGUUUUUAAUUUCAAUUAAUUUUGCCGUCCAAAACGAAGUCUGUUCUAUUUUGUCAAUCUGUGACGAUAUUUCAGCAAUAAAAUCACAAGUGGCAGCUAUUCGCGAGGAGCAAGCCCGACAGGCUAAUAUUUUGGAGGGUUCUGCUUUGCCUCUCGAAUCUGCAAGUGGCCUAAGUGUGGCAACCACCAAGAAUAAUGAUGAAUUUUGCACUCUUUUAUCGAUUUGCAAUAAUCUAGCAGCUUUAAGCUUGGAGUUGGCAGCUGUGCGGUAUAUUUAUAAUCAAUUAUUGUAACCAAAACAUUUUAAAAUUUUGAAGAUUUGUGAAGAUUUGCUAAAGAAAUCAGGUCUCAGUUUCUAGUACUGACUUGCCACAGACUUCCUGCUAGAAUGUCAAAAAUAAAAGCAAAAGUUCCCUAAAA